UGGGUUGUAACUCAGUGGUAAAGUUCUUGCCUAGCAUGUAUGAAGCCCUGGGUUUGAUUCUCAGUACCACAU
rnacentral:tRNA from 1 species